AAAAGCAACACACAUUUUAUAGAAGCCUUUAUUUACAACUUGUUUAACAACUGUACACUGGUUUUGUAGCCUUGGAAGUAUGUUCCGGACCGAAGGGAAACAUCCCGACCUCCUUCCCCACAAAAGAUAUCUGAACUUACAACCGUUAUUAUCUUGUUUACCUAUAUACAGAUAGGUUUUUAAAAUCACUACAAUAGCAGUAUGAAGAGAAAUCAUAGUUUGGGGGGAAAUUAAUAUCUAGUAAUCCUGGAAUUUCAUUCUUACAGAAAAAAAAAUACAUUUUAUUGGCAAUGUGACAAACAAGUAAUUUUGGUAGCUCAGGACAGUCAAACAAGUUGUUAUUGAAACACACAGAUAGGUCGAGAAUACAUGCUUAGGAUCUCAAAAAGUGGAAGCUGUAUCAUAUUCAUGUUAAAGAAAGCCCAAAUCAUUGCAAGUAGACAGGCAAGGUUGCCUAAUGGAAGUUAACCACAAAAUUCAUAUUCUUUUCCCUUAUACAAUGCUCUAAAGCAGGGGUAGAAAAAAAUAAAAAUGUAGGCAUGAUACAAAAAAGCUCCCAACCACAAGCACAUAUAUUAAGAUCAGGUCAAAAACACCAAGCAACUCACCAAACAACUACAAAGCAAGUCCUUCCUUCAUAGAAGCUAAUACAGUACAGACAAGAAUAUGUAGGGGAACGAAGGUAGCAGGAUAUGUGGUUUUGUAAUUGGAGGUAUCUAAAUAAGGAAGGCCACUCUAUUGUGAGACAGUGAUAAUUUCAUUUUUAUGGCACUGCUACCAAAACAACUCAAAAGACUGACAAUGUUGAAAGCCAAAUUUCCAGAACUGACUUCUCAACUGCCAGGUCCAGCCAAGCAUUUUUUCCUAGUUAUUGUCUACGUACCUGCAACAACUCAGUAAUUCCAGCAGUAAACUUUCUCUGAAAGAAAAAAAAUCUUAAGUGUCAUAAAUCGUAAUUCCUCCCCCAAAUGAAUCAACACAACCGGGAAGUGACUCUACCUCAGAGUCUGAAGUUGCAAGAGGACAAACGUUCCAUUUUGGCCUCACUUUCCCAGCCCUUCACUGUUGAGCCACUAUUAAGUUUUGCCCCAGUCUGGCUGGUAGAGAGGGUUAGUCAGAGACACCCUUACUACUCAGUACUAGUUUUACUCCUUAUCUAUGAUGCUGAAUGUUAAUCUAGGACACAAUCAAUUUAUCUGAAAUGGUAACCGGGCUGGAAUUGUCAACGAUCUCUCUUCAGCCGUAGUCCAAGCCAACCCAUUCUAAGUUUUGUGUCUCGACAUCUUUGCCCCUGCGAAUGGGAGGACUGUCAAGUUUCACAAAAGAAACAGACUCCUACUGAAACCCCUCAGUACUAAGCACGCCUUCAUUUUCACUUGAACGCAUAGGUAGAUGGUUUCUUAUGGCUUAAAAAUAGAAGCCAGCAGCCAGGGGUGUCGAGGCCAAAUCCUACCUCUCCCAUGUAGCUACAAUUGAAAAUCAUGAUGCUGAUCAAAUUGUAAACUUGUUUCAGAUGCAGUUGCUCCUGCAAUGAGGCUUAAUGGGAGUGAGACUGACCUCCUCCCUUCCAUCUCCUCAAAGCAGUUCUCAUAAAACUGACCAACUGUUCCAAAAGCUUCAUCCCUAUCCAUGAGAUGGUAAAAGCAGUGAUACAAAUACAAUCACUAAGCAAUAUUCCCUCAGGUUUUCUCCCAUAGUGCCACGUGUCCUACAUCUGCCUCAAUAUAAAGUGAAAGCUACAGCAGAACAAGCAAGAUACAUACAAGAGUGUGAAAAAAGCAGCUUUAAAAUUUUUAAAGGCAGCACAAUGCAUUCCAACCGUCAACGUAGUCUACAUGAUUAACAGCAAUAUUUUAUAACAUAAAGAUACAUUAGUGCAAUCCAAAGGGAAGGUAACAUAGAUGAAGGACAGAGAUCUUAAGAUAAAUACACUCAACCCAAAGAACAAUCGAAGUUCUAUCACAUAACACUGAAAUGCAGGAAAGGCACAAUUUUUUUUAAGUGUUCCUGCUCUCUACAUUCCUUUCCAGAGCUGCUUGUGCAUGUAUAAAUGGAUAGAAAAAAAGGAAGGGUACAAGUCUGCAGAAGGAGAUGCAUAAAAACAAAACAAAACAAAAAGGAUCUAUAUGUAUUAAGACAGUAAGCAGCCUCAGUAUAUACAAUAUUGCAUAUAUUGAGUGACAAGGCUUCGGUAUUAAAUUAAAAGCUGGAAAGGAACUGGCAACUCUUCCUAUCCAUUUUCUCCAACAAUAACAACAACAACAAAAGUGUUCUGGUAUAUAUAAUAUUGAACAUUAGUGCACUUUUAAAAUUAUACUAGUAAAUAAAGGUGCAUUUAGAAAACGUAUUUCAGUCUAAAGGUGUGUAUUGCAAGAGGUCUGUAUGUUAAUACUGUUAACAGGAAGAACGGAAGUCGCUAAAUAGCACUGCCAAUGAAUGCUAACAUAUUGUGUGCUAUUGGCCAUCUAACCAUCUUUAUUUCUAGAGCUUCAAUGUUUUGCUUGGUGGGAAAGUGGGAGAUGAUAUGGUUGUCUCUCUAUAUACUUCUCCUUGCAAAUAAACUCCACUCUUAAAAAAAAACAGAUGUUCAGAAAUGAUAUGCUAUUUGAUAGUAACUAAUGAAAAAUUCAGCUAACUUAGAACAGACUGGGGGGGAAAAAAGAUGCAAUGUAACCCUUAUUUUCUAAGCAAUUUAGCAAAUUUGGGGAUGAUUGUUACUAAAUAGCUGGCUUAAGAUGAUGAAAUAUAGAUUAAUAAUAUCAGUGAAUGCAGCCUAAGAUGUGAGGAUAUCUUUGCAAAAAGAGUCUACAGAAUUUAUCGGCCCUCAGAAAAUCCACAAUGGUGUGAUCUUUUGGGCAUAUUUAUACUAGACAAUAUAUCAAAAGAAAGAAAGGAAAUUCUAUCUAGCAGUUCUCUGCCUGGUUGCAUAUAUGAGCUCAUAGGCUAUUUUAUAGAGGAGACUUCUACUGAAGUCUGUCAACAUAAAACACCUAGCUUUAUGUCAAAAGUGAUGUAAAACAGCUGAUCACUUGAAAUUGUUAAAUUAUUUUCCACAAAAAUUUUCCACAGCUUUUCUUACACUAUGCCUCUUGCAGUUUGAUGUUAACCAAAUCUGCUUUUCCUUGAUCGCCUUCAGUUCUCUAGUUGUCCAAAUGUUUUCUGAAUAUCCAGCUCAAACUGGGCAAUCAUUUGAGAAAAAAAAAUUAUUGCUGAACUAAUUAGGUGUAUUUUCAUACACAAAAUUAGUCCAUCUUGAAUUAUAUUCCGGCGUCAGACUUUCAGAAUCCAAAUUGAAAGUUUAAUUAGUUUUCUGGCAGAAAGGCAGCUUCAGACAUCAGUACAUGAGGCCAGGACUACCAUGUAGAUGGCCUGAAGCUCAUUAUAAGGUAAAGACUGUAUGCAAAAAUGUAAGACUGAAAAAAAAAAAAA